AUAUUUACUGAGCAGUACUGUCUGCAGGGUCCUGACGGAGGUGUUUGGUUACCCGGGUCAGAGGCUGCCCUCCCGCCCUGCAGCCCUGAAGACAGACCAACCAUAAAGGGAAACUGAGCUUAGCAGGAGCUCGAGAUACCAGACACACCAGCCUUGGAACUGGGCAAACGCCGGAGACACACGACCCCUCAUUUUUGUCCUGAAGACAAAAGUUUUGCAUGUUUUACUGUCCUCUCUCUCACGGUGGCUGGAAUGCUGGUUGAGGCGAGGGAGGAAUCAGAGCCAAGGAGAGAAACGGGGUGAGAGCUACAAUGACGGGCGGAGGGAGUGACAACGGAGCGAGAGGCCGGGGGAGCUGAGGGACGAUGCUCUGGGGUCUGAGUGGGGAAGGAGACGGGACGGGCGCCUCGUCAGACAUGAUGUCCCCAGGGGCUGGGAUCAUCUUCUCCGUUUGUCCUCCAUGGUCACCAGGGCACUGAGCUUGGUAGGUUUCCCUGUCUCCCUUUACUGGCCACCAUGAGGCUGUGGUUAUCAGUGCCCUGCUUCCUGCAGCCCCAGGUGGCCGCGCCAGGCUCCCAGGCCAGUCCCUCGCCCACGGCCUCUAAAAGAGAAAGUCAAGAUCGGCGAGUGGGAGGACCCUGCUCACCCCGUUUCCAGUCGUCGCUGCCCACGCCGAUGCCCUCGUUCGCAACCGGUCAUCCUGAGCAUCUCUGCCGCUAAGCCCACCGUACUCGGAGGACCCCAGCCUCCCCCGGGAAGGGCUGCACCUGCUCCAUAAAAGUCUGUCUCUGUACCUUUGCUCACACCCUCUCUGUAUCCAAAAGCCCAGCUAUUCCAUCUACCAGAAUCCAACCUUUGUCUUCAAAAUCCAGGUCCUCUGUGCAGCUUUUUCUGAUGCCUGCCCUCAGUUAACCUCUCUCUUCUCUGCGCCGUAGAAUUUUGUGACUCGAUUGUAAACACUGCUUCUCACAGCGAGUCAUGCAUAUAAACAGUGCCUUUUUCGUGCUGUGUCUAACUAAACCCCUCUUCUCACCAAACCCCAGCGAGUACCAAGCAGAUGCUCAGGAUAAUGUGUUGAUUGACUUGUUGGACUGAAUGACUGAGGACAUGACAGCUGUGAUCAACCGAGAGUCCACACUCACCAUUUCCCAGGCCACCCGGAUUGUUUCCACGGCAGAGCCCGCCGCUGAGUGGAGAUGUCAUCUGAUUUAUUAAUUAACGCAAACACCAUUCAUCCAAAUGCUCCAGGGCAUGGUUAGAAAAAAAAAUCCAGAACAUUUUAAAAAUGAUAAAAAUAACUUUUACCAGCCUAGAAAUAACUGAAGUUUUAUUCCUAGUGCUUUGGUCCCAGCAUCAACCCCGCCUUCUGCAUCACCCAGGCCCUGUCGGCCCCCACCAGUUAGUUGUCCCCUUUUCCCACCUUGCUUCCCAGGUGAUUGACAGAAUUCCUGCCAGUAAGGCUGGCUAAUUGGGUUAAUGGAGUGACUGUGUUUUUUGUUCUCUCCACCACCCAACCCACCAUGCUGGCUGCUUUCCACUACCUGCCUCUCAUCUGUUCCAGGAUCACUAAUUUGCAACAACAACUUCCAUUGUCGGCCACAUCUGGGACUGUGGGGUUUUAAGUGAAUCUCCUCAAGGCAGAGAACAGAAGAUGCUGCUAUUUUGGUUUGUCUCAUUGACAAUGGGGCCAUUCUCUGGGGUUCACGGCAAGCGGGGGAAAUCUGAGCAGCCGUGGGACCCAGGCCAGAGCACAGUGUGCUGAGGAGGAGGGAGGCCAGCAGGUGGGGGGAAAAAUUCUGACCUUUUCUUCCCAGCUACUUGGGUUUGCAUUUCAUUUUAAUCAGUUUCAGAUGAAACUGACAAGCCAGGAGCCUCUGGAAUCUCAAUGGCCCCGGCCUUUGGCCUCUGGUCUCUAGAACUCCUAGCAUGUGACCUGGCCUGACCCAGCUUGCCCCAGAGGAGGCCGCACUGAGGGUGGCCUUUCUGAUCCCCAAGGCUCUCAAUGGUCUUGGAAAAAAACAAGGCUUUUCCCCUCUGUUGUUUUUUUGAGGUACGUUCAUUCUGCCUCAAUCUGUUACGCCUUAAAUGGAUCGCUGCCUGCCCUAAGUAUGGAAAUGUCAGCAUUCCGGAGCGAGGUGCUGGGACAGCGAGACGCAGCCUCCAGGAGCCCUGAGACAGGCCUGAGGGGCAAACUGCAGGGCUUCUGAUCCCAGAAUCCCUGAAAGCUGAACGUGGUUACCUGAGCGUCAGCCCUGGGCAGAUCCCACAGACACACCCCCAUCCCACCCAAACGCCUGGGUGGGCAGGGGAUGCUCGGACCCUCUUGAAUCCCCAGUGUCCUGCGCCCUGUUGUGCAGGUGAGCUUUCUUGUUGUACGUGUUGGUUUUCCCUGCAGCACACACUGCCUGGGUGACUGACGAGAAGAGGCGCUCAGUAAAUAAGUAAUGGAUUUCACUGGAUCGGAAGUUUCUGGCAAUCAAAUAAGAGCGGAGGUUCUUUCCAGAAAGGAAGAGAUUGACCAGAGGUAACCAAACUCACCAACACCUUUCCCAGCCACGUUGGAGGGUAUGUGCUCCAUGGGGGACCAUUUCCAGUCAGCCUUCAGGUACGUGACUCCACGCGACUGUCUGCACACCACUGCCCUCCGCUGGACACUGAGCCAAAGCUGCCCCGAGACCUGGUCCACGUCAGAAUGCCCUCAGGUGUCCUUCCCAUCCAUCCUGGACACAGCUACUGGACAAACUGGUUUCCUGGCUGGCUGCUCUUACCAAGUUUGUUUCCCCCUGACCACCGUGCAUUGAAUCCAUGAAACCUGAGAUGAGACGAGAGAAAACAGAGCUUCUCUGACUCCCUGGUACAUCGUAGGUUCCCUAAAUACUCAACGCGUGAAAAUCAACACCGUGACCCACGUUCCUGGCACGCCAACAGCACUGUGGACUGUUAUUAUAAUUAUUAAUUAAGAAUCCAUUUAAGAACCUAGAGUCUAGAACAGCUAGGAUGCUGAUGAUUUUUCGAAGACAACCGAGGACAAGAAAAAGGCACAAAGAGCUUCAAGCAGAAGAAUUAAAAAACAACCAGUUAUUUCUCUCUGUCUUAACAACAACAAAACCUUCCUCCUUUGGGAAAAGAUAAAGAAAGGAGAAAGUAAACACGUACACUGCCAACUCUUGUAGAUGAGACUGCUCUCUCCCUUACUGUGACGUGUUUUCUGUCUUCAAUAGUAGGUAUUUGUGAGCUUGCCUUAUUAUCUCUGCCUCUGACCUUAUUCGCUUAUAAGCACUUUGUCUGGCACAAUGACUGGCCUGUAAAAAGUCUACAAUACAUAGUUAUUGAAUUCCUGGCAGUCGAAUGUAGUAUAAGAGUGGCUAACAAUUUGCCAAUGGCAAUAGGAAAAUAAGCAAAAAUGGAAGCAGCACUUAUUACUUAUAAAUUGCUUCAAUUUGCUAAGAAAUUAUUUUCAACUCCCAAAAUUGAACUCUGGGGUUAGCCCAGGGCCUGGCAGGAUAUAUGAGUCUGAAGUUUCAGGAAGAAUUCCGGACUAAUCAGAGUUCCAGGAGUCACAGAGCAUGGGGUGGACCUGAAGACCCAGAGCAUCGCCCAGGAUGGGCUAUAGAAGUUGAAAUCGAAGUCUGGGACCUCGGGACUGGAUGCCGAAGGACCAGGGGGUACAAAGGAGGCCAGGACAGAGGCAAAGCAGGAAAAGCCAGAGAAACGAAGGAGGAGAGAGGAAGAGUAGAACCAAAAAAGCCAAGGACCUAGGGAGUUUUCAGGACAAAGGAGUGGCCUCUUGCCUCAAACGCAGCUGAGUAAUCUAGUCAAGACAGGAUUGAGAGCUGAUGGCUGGAUUGGGCAAUAGGAAGGUCAGUGGUGACCUGUGAGAGCAUCUGGUGACCUCGGUGAAAGCUGCUUCAGUUAGGGGGGCGUAGGUGGAUAGAGUGGAAGGCGCCAUGGUGAGAAUGGCAUUGAAUGGGAGGCAAGGACGUGAAAACCAUUGCAGGAGGCAAUCGAUGUAGAAGAAAGAACAAGGGCUUCUGGUUUUGACCUCGCACCCAGGCUUUGCCUCCCAAUCCGGCUUCCCUAUCAACUUGACACUGGUGACAUUUUCUAAAAAUCAAAAUUAAUCCUACCGCUUCCUGUUGUGAUUAACAUGCGCUGGCUUGCCGCUUGCUAGACAACGAAGAGCAAAGUCCAAUACAAAUCUGUUUAGUAUAAUUUA